UUGGUGGAGGUUGCAGUGUAAACUUGAGGAAGUGAUCUCCCCACUGCUAUUUGCUCCCCAGCAGUCAACCAGGAUGCUGCUCUUCUGUGUGCUUCUCUUAGUAUCUCUGAUAGGGGAAAGUUCUGAACAGACAAUAACAGCAAUGAUGGCUGAAAUGAACGCUUUAGAUGGAGAAAAUGUCAUCCUCUCGUGCAAAUAUGAUGGCACGAACAUUCAGAGUUUGCAGUGGUAUCGCCUGUACCCCGGAUCUAAACCAGAAUAUGUGCUGUUAGUCUAUGAAGCUACAAACGCUGUCAUUCGUGCUGACCCUCAAAAUCUACGGCUCAAUGCCACGGUGAACUCGGACAGAAAACAAGUUUCUUUGGAGAUCUCCUCUGCAAAGAUCUCAGACGCUGCUGUGUACUACUGCGCUCUGCAGCCCACAGUGACAGGAAACACAACAAGCCUGUACAAAAACCCAGGAGCAAAUGGCAGUGUUUGGUUAGUGUCAUUGUGUGUUUACUGAUCUAUUUCACUACAGAAAUCUGAUUGAUAAUUUAAAUGAAAAGACAAAAUCACAUUACAUUGGAUCAUACAUUUUCAUAUAGUAU